GUGGGGAAUCUUAGACAAUGGGGGCAACCCUGAUCUAGCCAUGCCGCGUGAGUGAUGAAGGCCUUAGGGUCGUAAAGCUCUUUCGCUGGGGAAGAUAAUGACGGUACCCAGUAAAGAAACCCCGGCUAACUCCGUGCCAGCAGCCGCGGUAAUGCGGAGGGGGUUAGCGUUGUUCGGAAUUACUGGGCGUAAAGCGCGCGUAGGCGGAUUGGAAAGUUGGGGGUGAAAUCCCGGGGCUCAACCCUGGAAUGGCCUUCAAAACUCCCAGUCUUGAGGUCGAGAGAGGUGAGUGGAAUUCCGAGUGUAGAGGUGAAAUUCGUAGAUAUUCGGAGGAACACCAGUGGCGAAGGCGGCUCACUGGCUCGAUACUGACGCUGAGGUGCGAAAGCGUGGGGAGCAAACAGGAUUAGAUACCCUUGUAGUCC
rnacentral:rRNA from 1 species